rnacentral:tRNA from 1 species
GCGCCACUAGCUCAGCUGGAUAGAGCGUUGGCCUCCGGAGCCAAAGGUCAGUGGUUCGAAUCCACUGUGGCGCGCCA